UAACUGAAUCUCAGUGUUGUUGGUCUAUU
rnacentral:piRNA from 1 species